GGGGCUGUAGCUCAGUGGUUGAGCGCUUGCCUCAUAUGCAUGAGGAACUGGGUUCGAUCCUCAGUACCA
rnacentral:tRNA from 1 species